AGCUCCAAUAGCGUAUAUUAAAGUUGUUGCAGUUAAAAAGCUCGUAGUUGAAAAUCUGAUUGCUCAGGUCUUCAGCCUUUAGGCGGGGAUACUGACAGUCAUCCGCUUGCAAAUAUAAGUUCGAUCUUCACCGGUUGGCUAUAUGAGCAAGCAAUUUACCUUGAGAAAAAACAGUGUGUUCCAGGCAGGUUUGUCCGGAAUGCAUUAGCAUGGAAUAAUAGAAUAUGACUGAAGUCGAUUUAUUGGUUUGAGGCUUUAGUAAUGAUUAAUAGGAACAGUCGGGGGCAUUGGUACUUGACAGUCAGAGGUGAAAUUCUAGGAUUUGUCAAAGACUAACAAAUGCGAAAGCAUUUGCCAAGGAUGUUUUCAUUAAUCAAGAACGAAAGUUAGGGGAUCAAAGACGAUCAGAUACCGUCCUAGUCUUAACUAUAAACUAUACCGACUCGGAUUCAGAUGAAUCAUAACGUUCAUUUGGGACCGUCGGAGACAUCACAGUUUGUGGGUUCUGGGGGAAGUAU
rnacentral:rRNA from 1 species